rnacentral:rRNA from 1 species
UGCCAGCCGCCGCGGUAAUACGGGGAGUGCAAGCGUCGUUCGGAAUCAUUGGGCGUAAAGCGCGUGUAGGCGGCCCAGUAAGUCUGAAGUGAAAUCCCUCGGCCCAACCGAGGACGUGCUUUGGAAACUGCUGAGCUUGAAUCCUGGAGGGGCAAGUGGAAUUCCCAGUGUAGGGGUGAAAUCCGUAGAUAUUGGGAGGAACACCGGUGGCGAAGGCGACUUGCUGGACAGUGAUUGACGCUCAGACCCGAAAGCGUGGGUAGCAAACAGGAUUAGAUA